rnacentral:rRNA from 1 species
AGMMUAGAGUUUGAUCMUGGYUCGGGAAGAACGCYGGGSGGCAUGCCUAUUACAUCAAGUCGAACGAACUUUCCUYUUGAUUGAUGCYYGCMUCAUGAUUUAGAUMUAAGUGAGUGGCGGACGGGGUGAGUAACACGUGGGUAACCUGCCCAGAAGUGGGGGAUAACAUUUGGAAACAAGUGCUAAUACCGYAUAACAACAUUAAACACAUGUUUUUUGUUUAAAAGAUGGUUUUGCUAUCUCUUCUGGAUGGACCCGCGGCGUAUUAGCUAGUUGGUGAGGUAAUAGCUCACCAAGGCGAUGAUACGUAGCCGACCUGAGAGGGUAAUCGGCCACAUUGGGACUGAGACACGGCCCAAACUCCUACGGGAGGCAGCAGUAGGGAAUCUUCCACAAUGGACGAAAGUCUGAUGGAGCAAUGCCGCGUGAGUGAAGAAGGUUUUCGGAUCGUAAAACUCUGUUGUUGAAGAAGAACAUAUGUGAGAGUAACUGUUCACGUACUGACGGUAUUCAACCAGAAAGCCACGGCUAACUACGUGCCAGCAGCCGCGGUAAUACGUAGGUGGCAAGCGUUGUCCGGAUUUAUUGGGCGUAAAGAGAAUGUAGGCGGUUCAUUAAGUUUGAAGUGAAAGCCCUCGGCUCAACCGAGGAAGUGCUUCGAAAACUGGUGAACUUGAGUGCAGAAGAGGAAAGUGGAACUCCAUGUGUAGCGGUGGAAUGCGUAGAUAUAUGGAAGAACACCAGUGGCGAAGGCGGCUUCKGUCUGUAACKACGCUKAGA